CUGGCGGCAGGCUUACACAUGCAAGUCGAACGGUAGCAGGAGGAAGCUUGCUUUCUUGCUGACGAGUGGCGGACGGGUGAGUAAUGCUUGGGAAUCUGGCUUAUGGAGGGGGAUAACUACUGGAAACGGUAGCUAAUACCGCGUAAUAUCGAGAGAUUAAAGGGUGGGACUUUCGGGCCACCUGCCAUAAGAUGAGCCCAAGUGGGAUUAGGUAGUUGGUGGGGUAAAGGCCUACCAAGCCUGCGAUCUCUAGCUGGUCUGAGAGGAUGGCCAGCCACACUGGAACUGAGACACGGUCCAGACUCCUACGGGAGGCAGCAGUGGGGAAUAUUGCACAAUGGGGGGAACCCUGAUGCAGCCAUGCCGCGUGAAUGAAGCAGGCCUUCGGGUUGUAAAGUUCUUUCGGUGAUGAGGAAGGUGUUUUGUUUAAUAGACAAAGCAAUUGACGUUAGUCACAGAAGAAGCACCGGCUAACUCCGUGCCAGCAGCCGCGGUAAU
rnacentral:rRNA from 1 species